CAACUCUGAUAGCUUAAUUAAAGAGCAUAGCGUUGAAGGUGCUAAGGUGGAAUAAUAAUUCCUCGGGG
rnacentral:tRNA from 1 species